rnacentral:rRNA from 1 species
AUUGAACGCUGGCGGCAUGCUUUACACAUGCAAGUCGGACGGCAGCACAGAGAAGCUUGCUUCUUGGGUGGCGAGUGGCGAACGGGUGAGUAAUAUAACGGUACGUACCGAGUAAUGGGGGAUAACUAAUCGAAAGAUUAGCUAAUACCGCAUAUUCUCUGAGGAGGAAAGCAGGGGACCUUCGGGCCUUGCGUUAUUCGAGCGGCCGAUAUCUGAUUAGCUAGUUGGUGGGGUAAAGGCCUACCAAGGCGACGAUCAGUAGCGGGUCUGAGAGGAUGAUCCGCCACACUGGGACUGAGACACGGCCCAGACUCCUACGGGAGGCAGCAGUGGGGAAUUUUGGACAAUGGGCGCAAGCCUGAUCCAGCCAUGCCGCGUGUCUGAAGAAGGCCUUCGGGUUGUAAAGGACUUUUGUCAGGGAAGAAAAGGCUGUUGCUAAUAUCGACAGCUGAUGACGGUACCUGAAGAAUAAGCACCGGCUAACUACGUG